GCUGCGGGUACUCGAGUGGCGAACGGGUGAGUAACACGUGGGUGAUCUGCCUUGCACUUCGGGAUAAGCUUGGGAAACUGGGUCUAAUACCGGAUAGGACAGCUGUUUAGUGUCAGUUGUGGAAAGUUUUUUCGGUGCAAGAUGAGCUCGCGGCCUAUCAGCUUGUUGGUGGGGUAAUGGCCUACCAAGGCGUCGACGGGUAGCCGGCCUGAGAGGGUGUACGGCCACAUUGGGACUGAGAUACGGCCCAGACUCCUACGGGAGGCAGCAGUGGGGAAUAUUGCACAAUGGGCGGAAGCCUGAUGCAGCGACGCCGCGUGGGGGAUGAAGGCCUUCGGGUUGUAAACUCCUUUCGACAGGGACGAAGCGUAAGUGACGGUACCUGUAUAAGAAGCACCGGCUAACUACGUGCCAGCAGCCGCGGUAAUACGUAGGGUGCGAGCGUUGUCCGGAAUUACUGGGCGUAAAGAGCUCGUAGGUGGUUUGUCGCGUCGUCUGUGAAAUUCCGGGGCUUAACUCCGGGCGUGCAGGCGAUACGGGCUGACUUGAGUGCUGUAGGGGAGACUGGAAUUCCUGGUGUAGCGGUGAAAUGCGCAGAUAUCAGGAGGAACACCGAUGGCGAAGGCAGGUCUCUGGGCAGUAACUGACGCUGAGGAGCGAAAGCAUGGGUAGCGAACAGGAUUAGAUACCCUGGUAGUCCAUGCCGUAAACGGUGGGCGCUAGGUGUAGGGGGCUUCCACGUCUUCUGUGCCGUAGCUAACGCAUUAAGCGCCCCGCCUGGGG
rnacentral:rRNA from 1 species